GUGGGGAAUAUUGGACAAUGGGCGAAAGCCUGAUCCAGCCAUGCCGCGUGUGUGAAGAAGGUCUUCGGAUUGUAAAGCACUUUAAGUUGGGAGGAAGGGCAGUAAGUUAAUACCUUGCUGUUUUGACGUUACCGACAGAAUAAGCACCGGCUAACUUCGUGCCAGCAGCCGCGGUAAUACGAAGGGUGCAAGCGUUAAUCGGAAUUACUGGGCGUAAAGCGCGCGUAGGUGGUUUUGUAAGUUGGAGGUGAAAUCCCCGGGCUCAACCUGGGAACUGCCUCCAAAACUGCAUGACUAGAGUACGGUAGAGGGUAGUGGAAUUUCCUGUGUAGCGGUGAAAUGCGUAGAUAGAGGAAGGAACACCAGUGGCGAAGGCGACUACCUGGACUGAUACUGACACUGAGGUGCGAAAGCGUGGGGAGCAAACAGGAUUAGAAACCCCAGUAGUCC
rnacentral:rRNA from 1 species